CGUAGGGUGCGAGCGUUGUCCGGAAUUACUGGGCGUAAAGAGCUCGUAGGUGGUUUGUCGCGUUGUUCGUGAAAUCUCACGGCUUAACUGUGAGCGUGCGGGCGAUACGGGCAGACUUGAGUACUGCAGGGGAGACUGGAAUUCCUGGUGUAGCGGUGGAAUGCGCAGAUAUCAGGAGGAACACCGGUGGCGAAGGCGGGUCUCUGGGCAGUAACUGACGCUGAGUAGCGAAAGCGUGGGGAGCGAACAGGAUUAGAUACCCUGGUAGUCCACGCCGCAAACGGCGGGUACUAGGUGUGGGUUUCCUUCCUUGGGAUCCGUGCCGUAGCUAACGCAUUAAGUACCCCGCCUGGGGAGUACGGCCUCAAGGCUAAAACUCAAAGAAAUUGACGGGGGCCCGCACAAGCGGCGGAGCAUGUGGAUUAAUUCGAUGCAACGCGAAGAACCUUACCUGGGUUUGACAUGCACAGGACGCCGGCAGAGAUGUCGGUUCCCUUGUGGCCUGUGUGCAGGUGGUGCAUGGCUGUCGUCAGCUCGUGUCGUGAGAUGUUGGGUUAAGUCCCGCAACGAGC
rnacentral:rRNA from 1 species